CCUACGGGAGGCAGCAGUGGGGAAUAUUGGGCAAUGGGCGCAAGCCUGACCCAGCAAUGCCGCGUGAAGGAAGAAGGCUUUCGGGUUGUAAACUUCUUUGACAGGGGAAGAGCAGAAGACGGUACCCUGAAAACAAGCCACGGCUAACGACGUGCCAGCAGCCGCGGUAAUACGUAGGUGGCAAGCGUUGUCCGGAGUUACUGGGGGUAAAGGGCGUGUAGCCGGGAAGGCAAGUCAGAUGUGAAAUCUGGAGGCGCAACCUCCAAAUUGCAUUUGAAACUGUUUUUCUUGAGUACUGGAGAGGCAGCCCGAAUUCCUUGUGUCGCGGUUAAAUGCGUAGAUAUAAGGCGGAACACCAGUGGCGAAGGCGGUCUGCUGGACAGCACCUGACGGUGAGGCGCGAAAGCGUGGGGAGCAAACAGGAUUAGAUACCCCAGUAGUC
rnacentral:rRNA from 1 species